AUGCUCGUUUCGGUAACACAUAUACUAAAAUUGGAACGAUACAAGAAGAUUAGCAUGGCCCCUGCGCAAGAAUGGCAUGCAAAUUUGUGAAGCGUUCUGUAUUUUU
ensembl:snRNA U6 U6 spliceosomal RNA